rnacentral:misc_RNA from 1 species
GAUGAAGAACGUAGCGAAAUGCGAUACUUGGUGUGAAUUGCAGAAUCCCGUGAACCAUCGAGUCUUUGAACGCAAGUUGCGCCUCAAGCCAUUAGGUUGAGGGCACGUCUGCCUGGGCGUCACAUAUCGUUGCCUGAUGCCAGUUUCCUCGUGAUGGGUGACUGUGCAGGGCGAAUGAUGGCUUCCCGUGAGCAUUGUUGCCUCAUGUUUGGUUGAAAAUUGAGUCCUUGGUAGGGAGCGCCGUGAUAGAUGGUGGUUGAGUGACGAACGAGACCCAAUCAUGUGAGACCCCUACCGAAUUUGGCCUUCAUAACCCACAUGCGUCUUUGGAACGCUCAUGACGAGACCUCAGGUCAGGCGGGGCUACCCGCUGAGUUUAAGCAUAUCAAUAAGCGGAGGA